rnacentral:lncRNA from 1 species
AGGAUUUCACGAUGUAAUUGCCAACACCGAAAUCAUCUGUGUUUCUCUUUCAUCUCUGUAGAUAUGCAGUUGGCUUCAACUAUGAAAACUUAGGAAGUGCGUUUAGAUGGCUUCUUUUUUGUUGGUUUUCUCCUCAAACCCUACAGUUCUUCCUUGUAUUUUCUCUUAUUUUUUAUGGAUUCUAUAUUAGUUAUGGGGAACAAAAUUGAUGUGUGCCAUCUCCAAAUUUCUCAGGCCUUGCAUCUUCUGGUCUUUUAUUUGUUUUCUUCAAGACGACGUCUCUUGUCUAGGGUUAGGGAAGAGAGAUACGUUGAGGUCAUACAGAUCUGUAGCUGUAUGCGAAAUAAAACUGGGAUACAGUGGUUUAACGUGAUAUUAGGGUUGUAAUCUAUGUAUUUACUGCUGUUUGUUUGUUGUUGGUUUGUCAGGAAUGUGUUAGGGUUUCGAUACCGUGUAAUUUCAAAAGCUGAGAUGAGUGAUGGAUUAUGGAGUGGAGCUCCUUGAAGUCCAAUAGAAGCUCCUGCUGGGUAGAUCGAGCUGCUGAGCUAUGAAUCCCACAGCCCUAUCACCAUCUGUUAUUUUGAUGGGCCUGCGGCUUGCAUAUCUCAGGAGCUUUAUUACCUAAUGUUGGAUCUUUUUUUGGAUUGAAGGGAGCUCUAAACCUUUGAUCUUUUCAGCCUUCUGCAUCUUAAAAUCUUUUGUUUUUUAGCAGUUUUCUCUUGUACAAAUUCAUCAACGCUGUUUGGAAUAUUUUAUCUGCUUAAAGUACUUCGUUUUCAACUCUUUGCCUUGACCAUGCUUUUCCGUUGCAGGGAACUGAUUACUUGAGUUGAAGCACUUGGCUUUGCUAUUUUUGUUAGUGGAAGCUGACUGCAUCUUCAUGUUUGCAUGGAUCUCCUGAUCUGUUUCAAGCUUUUUAAUUAGAAACUCGAGUGGUUAGAUCACAUGCAGUGCAGCAAAUUUAAUUCCCCCGUACAUGCUCUUAUUAAAUAGAUUGAUCUUUUUUCUUCUUUUUCGCUGCCACUGCUUACCUUGCCUUGUUUUUGUGCCCUUAAUAUUUAACAGAUUUGUUCCUGUUCCGAGUAGUGAAAUAUAUUUGAUAGCAUUUUUGUUUAGAAAUAUAUUAAAACAAUUUUUUUUAAAAUUUUAAUUUCUACAAACACUUUCUCAAUAUUCAAGAUAACUUGAAUCAUAAGUUUGUCAUCCUUCAUAAGGUAUAUCUAUAGUUCAAAUGCUGGCGAUUGCUCCCUUGUACAUUCCUGUUCUGUUCUGCUUCCGAAAGAUAAUUUCCGAAGACUAAAUUGUAAUGUAUUUUAAUCAGAAAAGGUUCCGUAAAAGGUCCAUAACAUGUAAGGUUAAAUAUACUGAUGUGCUUAUUUUUUCUAGAGCGCAACUGUUUUGUAAGUUUUAUUUCAAUAAUUUCCUUAGGAACAGAAUCUGCUUAUAUUUUGUAGAUAUUCUUGUGUCCAGUAGGCAUGGAAGAGCACCACCAGGCCAUGGAAAUUCCUGUGCAUCUUUAAGACUCAAACUUCCAUCUCCUUCAUGCAAUGAGGAAGAGGCGAAUUCGGUAGCUGAUGGUCUUGCUAGGCAGGCGGGGUUGAUACUUGAUAGUCCAAGUGACUUGCUAGGGCAUCAGUAGUUGAUUUCAGAUCUUUUUGUGCUGAUGUUGUUCUGGCAGAGCAUGCAGUCAGAUUUCUUGAUCUCGUUUUUACACCAUCUUAUUGAUGGAUUUCCUCUCAAAUAACUCUGGUUGUAUUCUUAUUAAAUAAAAAAUAAUAUUGAAAGAAAUGAAAUAACAAUCAAGCAUGAAAAGGAUAUGAGCCUAUGUGUUGACAUGGUCAUCUGAUGC